AACAAGGCGUACCUGCGGACCUGCGGAGGGAUCAUUACCGAGUGUGAACCCCCCCGUAAAGAAGAGGGGUUACCUCCCGUCCUUUGCUGGGAACCCCUUUCCAACUUGGAAGGAGGUUGUUUUCAGACCCUUCUGCUUCGGUGGGGUAACCCACCGGAACAACCUCAAAAAUAUUCUCAAUUCAAAACCGUUCAGUCCGAGAACUUUUUUGAAAAGCGAAAAAACUUUCAACAACGGAUC
rnacentral:misc_RNA from 1 species